rnacentral:tmRNA from 1 species
CUAUUUACAAUACUAAAUGACUAGUACUAUAAUGGUAGUGCUGCAAUAGCAGCUAUAGUAAUAAACGUUAUAUAAAAUAGAAGUUGCGGACCCGGGGGCGGUACCCGGCGCUUCCACCACUGGACUUGUUUAUGGGAGCGAAAUAGGAUCGACGUGCUUAAUAAAGGUAUAAUUUUUACUCGGGAUGAUACCUCCGAAUCUUUUUGGAUUGUGGAUCAAAAAAAGUAAAUGCAAACGAUAAUAAUCGUCUUGCGGCUGCUGCUUAAAUUAGGUAGCUAGCCACGGGGUUGGGGGCUUACCUGGCAACAGAAAAGCCCUAUU